ensembl:lncRNA
ACUUCUUCCAUGACAAGCGUGCUUAUGACAUCUUAUGCCAUGCCCCAAUAAGCUAACAGAGGAAGACGAUAUUAAAGUGUCUGGCAAUAGCCCUUGGUUGUGAAUAUAGUAUUCUGAAAGACUGGUUUCUCCAAGGCAACCAUACCUGAUCUGAUUAUUGCUCUUAGUUUCAAAAAGCAAUAGAAGAGAGCAUGGAACACGCUGAAUGGUAACAUCGCUCUAUGGACGCUGUAAAGGGCCUGGGAGAUCCACCCACCGCCACUGCAAUGGGAAUACUGACCACUGAUGGAUCACACCAAGCUCCUCUCCAGGAACUGCCUUCAGCUGAAUAGAGCUGCCCUGCUGCAGAAUACAACCCUCCGGAGAAACGCCAGUAUUCAGGGAUUCAUUGCUAUGAGGAUCCCCAAUGCUUACAAUCAGCUCUACAGUGCCCUCCUGUGGCCUCACUUGCAAUUGUGUUGCAGCUAGACAGCUCCCUCCACCCCAGUCUGGUCCCUUUACUUCCUUCCAGGUGUCCAUCAAGGAGCAUCUUCCCCAACAAACCACCUGCAUACAAAUUUACACCCCAUAGUCUGUUCCCCAGGGUACACGACCUGAAACAUUUCUCCAGAGUCUCUUUCCAGCAUAAUAGCUACAGUUCUCCUCUUCAAAGUCAGGCCAUUCCUCCUGUUGAGAUCCCUUCAAUGACUUCCAUCUCAUCACUUUCAAAGGACAAGAGCCUUGCCAUUUGCACACCAGGCCCAUUACCUCUUUGACCUUAUCUCCUACUCCUCUGCCCCCACACUGGCUUCCUGGCUGUUCCUCAAACAUACUGGGUACC